rnacentral:rRNA from 1 species
GAGUUUGAUCGUGGCUCAGGAUGAACGCUGGCGGCGUGCUUAACACAUGCAAGUCGAACGAGGAAUUUUAAAUGAGACUUCGGUGGAUUUUAAAAUUCUUAGUGGCGGACGGGUGAGUAACGCGUGGGCAACCUGCCCUGUACAGGGGGGACAACAGCUGGAAACGGCUGCUAAUACCGCAUAAGACCACGGAGCCGCAUGGCUCAGUGGGAAAAACUCCGGUGGUACAGGAUGGGCCCGCGUUGGAUUAGGUAGUUGGUGAGGUAACGGCCCACCAAGCCGACGAUCCAUAGCCGACCUGAGAGGGUGACCGGCCACGUUGGGACUGAGACACGGCCCAAACUCCUACGGGAGGCAGCAGUGGGGAAUCUUCCGCAAUGGGCGAAAGCCUGACGGAGCAACGCCGCGUGAGUGAAGAAUUAUUUCGGUAUGUAAAGCUCUAUCAGCAGGGAAGAAAAUGACAGUACCUGACUAAGAAGCCCGGCUAACUACGUGCCAGCAGCCGCGGUAAC